rnacentral:lncRNA from 1 species
GAGGUUCUCAAAGGCUGGGACCAAGGCUUGAAGGGAAUGUGUGUGGGAGAGAAGCGAAAGCUCACCAUUCCUCCUGCCCUGGGCUAUGGCAAAGAAGGAAAAGGUAAAAUACCCCCAGAGAGCACACUGAUAUUCAACAUUGACCUCCUGGAAAUUCGAAAUGGCCCAAGGUCCCACGAAUCAUUUCAAGAAAUGGAUCUCAACGACGACUGGAAACUCUCUAAGCACGAGGUGACCCUACCCUCUGCCUCUCCACUGUUUUUCUUGUACUUUUAUUUUAAGCGCACGUUUUUAGAAAUACCUUAGCUGCCGGGAGAAGAAAAGUAAGUUUUCUUCAAAGGAAUAGCAGUGGGUAUGUCAGCCAGACCCAGGGCAGGCCCCAUGCUCAGAAGUCAGCCCAAUAGAAAUCAGACCCCAUGGUUCUUGGUGGGGUUUUCCUUUUUUUUUUUUUUUUACUUUGAGAUUGUGAGAUUGAUUUUUUAUUAACUGUAAUGUGGUCUCUUCUUUAUACCUGAUUGUGCCAUUUUAUUUCUAAAUACACAGACUGUAUAGACAAUCUUAUUCUGUCACUGAGUUUUCUGCAGGUUUUUGUUGUCUUUUAUGAGCCUAUUCCAGUGAGGUGGGAAAGUUAAAUGAGAUUUAUAGCAAUAUAUUUACCUGGCUAGGCUGUAACUAUUUCUUUUUUAAGUUUCUUUUUUAUUAAUUAUUUUAUUUAUUUAGAUUUCAAAUGUCUCCCUUCCUGGUCUU